rnacentral:rRNA from 1 species
UACGGGGGGGGCAAGCGUUGUUCGGAAUUACUGGGCGUAAAGGGCGCGUAGGCGGCCUUCUAAGUCGGACGUGAAAUCCCUCGGCUUAACCGAGGAACUGCGUCCGAUACUGAAAGGCUUGAAUCCGGGAGAGGGAUGUGGAAUUCCAGGUGUAGCGGUGAAAUGCGUAGAUAUCUGGAGGAACACCGGUGGCGAAGGCGGCAUCCUGGACCAAUAUUGACGCUGAGGAGCGAAAGCUAGGGGAGCAAACGGG